CCUGCUCAGAUGACGCUGCGGUAGCCUACACAUGCAAGUCGAACGGCAGCACAGGAGAGCUUGCUCUCUGGGUGGCGAGUGGCGGACGGGUGAGGAAUCAAUCGGAAUCUACCUUUUCGUGGGGGAUAACGUAGGGAAACUUACGCUAAUACCGCAUACGACCUUAGGGUGAAAGCGGAGGACCUUCGGGCUUCGCGCGGAUAGAUGAGCCGAUGUCGGAUUAGCUUGUUGGCGGGUAACGGCCCACCAAGGCGACGAUCCGUAGCUGGUCUGAGAGGAUGAUCAGCCACACUGGAACUGAGACACGGUCCAGACUCCUACGGGAGGCAGCAGUGGGGAAUAUUGGACAAUGGGCGCAAGCCUGAUCCAGCCAUACCGCGUGAGUGAAGAAGGCCCUCGGGUUGUAAAGCUCUUCUGUCCGGAAAGAAAAGCGCUCGGUUAAUACCCAAGCGUCAUGACGGUACCGGAAGAAUAAGCACCGGCUAACUUCGUG
rnacentral:rRNA from 1 species